UAGUGAGUAUAGAUUUCGAGAGGUUUCCAAGUACAUGCCCAAGUACUUAUUACUUCUUGGGUUGUAAUUGCUAUCUUAUUAGGUUCAGCCAUUAUAGCUGUUCGUAAUCCACAAACAAUUCCUACUGACGGUC